rnacentral:lncRNA from 1 species
GUGCCACUGCAUGCUUUUCCUCACCCCUGAUAAUGAUUUUGCUGGCAAUGAGCAGGUGAUUACAAUGGAAGAAAUUAAAGAAUCAACUGCCAAUAUGUAGUUUAGGUGCACCCUCGCUCUUUUUUGGUACACAAAUACUGAUUACAUAUCUACACUACAUGUAUAACUUUAUUUAUAUGCUCAUAUAACAUCACUUUUGGUGUAUCCGACCAUCACAUUAACAUGCCUUCAACAAAAAUAAAAUGUUUUUUUUUAUUAUUAAACAACCUAACCUAACCUA